UUUGCUGGUUUGGGCACACACGUGCCAGAGUUAAAGUGAACAGAGAUCAGCAUGGGCCCUGCGCAAGGAUGACAAGCAAAUUCACGAAGCAUUCCAUAUUUUU
ensembl:snRNA U6 U6 spliceosomal RNA